UACGGGGGGAGCAAGCGUUGUUCGGAUUUACUGGGCGUAAAGGGCGCGUAGGCGGCCACCGCAAGUCAGUUGUGAAAGCUCUGGGCUUAACCCAGAAAGGUCAACUGAUACUGCGGGGCUAGAGUGCAGAAGGGGCAACUGGAAUUCUCGGCGUAGCGGUGAAAUGCGUAGAUAUCGAGAGGAACACCUGCGGCGAAGGCGGGUUGCUGGGCUGACACUGACGCUGAAGUGCGAAAGCUAGGGGAGCGAACGGG
rnacentral:rRNA from 1 species